rnacentral:rRNA from 1 species
UACAGAGGUCCCAAGCGUUGUUCGGAUUUACUGGGCGUAAAGGGUGCGUAGGUGGCGGGGUAAGUCUGGUGUGAAAGCUCCGAGCUCAACUCGGAAAAGCAUUGGAAACUAUCCCGCUGGAGGGUCGGAGGGGAGACUGGAAUUCUCGGUGUAGCAGUGAAAUGCGUAGAUAUCUGGAGGAAUACCGGUGGCGAAGGCGGCAUCCUGGACCGGCAUUGACGCUGAUGAGCGAAAGCUAGGGGAGCAAACGGG